rnacentral:lncRNA from 1 species
UGGCCCCAGCCCCCAAUGCAACUGUCCAACCCAAGCUCCUUAUCCUCCAACUUGUUGAAUAGCCUCACCAGGCUCCCAUCUCCCAGAGAAGGUUGAUGGCGACAUUGGUUCCUCCUGCAGUCAGCUACCAAUCCCUGUGGUAGCUAAAAGGGGGAUAAAAGCACAGCCCCCUCUAUCCAUCCCUUAUUGUUACUUCUCAUCCCUCCCAAGACGCUAAUUCUUCUUGCCUAAAUCAAUGUAUCAGGCACCAAGUUGCUCCCUCAGGGCCUUUCCUUGCGAAUUUGCCUUAUGCAUAAUCGCAGUAGAGUCACCUUUAUAAACCUUUGAAUCAGCAGGCUUACCCUUUCCUGCUGUCUUGCCCACAUUCGUUCUAAGCUUUGCUGAAAACUUCCCUCCCACUUCCUUUGUUGACAAACCUGCUCGUCCCUGAAGCCCUUCCCCCUUAUCCACGGGGCCCUCCCCCAGCAGAUGAGGUGAACGCCUUCCCUUCCCUGGCUGCCCGGUUAUGAUUUGAUUUGUGCCUCUCUGGGAAGCACACACCACACUUUGCCAGGUGGAAUCAAGUUGUGGACACUUCUGUCUGCCCAGCUUGGUUGUAAACUUCCACACCACCCUUUGCUUGCCUUUGGAGCCCCUCUCCUGGGCCUGCGUGGUGGGCGUGCAGUGAUGUUCCUGGAGGCUAUUGCAAUCACGGAGCCAGCCUGCGGCGCAGACCUGGGCUGAGGGGGUGCAGACGGAGACCCUGGGAAAGCGGCUACACUAAGCUUGGCACCGUGCCACCUGGGCUUUCUAUGGGAAAAGAAACUAUUGAGCAAGACCAGGGAUCUGCCAAAGCCCCAGCUGGUUUCCUCUACAAUGUGACAAAGUCCUGUAUGUUUCCUUGAGAGACAGUGUGGUGUUGGGUGGGGAAAUAGGAGCCAGGUUUGCCAUUUCCAAGCUUCAGGACCCCAGGAAAGUUCAUUGAACAUCUCUCUACCUCAGUUUCCCCCUCAUUUUGAGAAAUAAUAUUUGUAACAAGGCACAUUAAAAAUACCCAAGGCAUGUCUAUUAUUUUAAGGUUAUUAUACUAACUUUAUAGUUAUAGUUAGAUUAGAACUCAAACAAUGUUGUAUUACUAGUAACCUGGCCUCCUCCCAGAAGGCAAGAGGUGCACGUCUGAGAAUGGGGAGGCUGGAGGGGCCCCAGGUGAUGGGGACUGUCGGGGAGGGGUAGUCAUUGGAAGUGUACCUUCCUGUCAAAGGCCGCAAAAGGGACCCUCAGAGGAUUCAGGCGUGAGAUACGGCAACGAGGAAUUGCAGACCAAGCCCUCCUGAGAGGAUUCCAAACGACACCCGUCAGACCUUAUGUUUUCAGAGUGUUUUCCCCUCCGCUGACACUACCCCAGAAAUACGAGCCCUCUGGCCGUCAGCCCUGGCAACACCCCCCUCAUCUCUCCCUUACUCAGCUUUGGUUUCAAAUAGGACAAUGGCCCACCUAGUAUCCACUUCAUGUGAUCGACAGGAAAUCUGAAACCCAAACAGGCAAAUCAUGGCUGGGAACUUGAGUCUUCAGAUGACUGGGAACAUCCUAGGUGAUCUCAGGCGACUCUGUACCACCCCGACCCUAGAAUUAAUUUAGCCUCCCUGAGAACAGCUGGUCCCUUGGUGCUUCCACCUCCCCAGUCUCUCCAUCUGCUAUGAUCUGAAUGUGUCCCUCACUCCAUAAAUUCACCCCCACCUCAAGGUGACGGUAUUAGGAGAUGGGACUUUGGGGAGGUGAUAAGUCAUGAGGGUGGAGCUCUCAUGAAUAAGAUUAGUGCCCUUAUAAAAGAAACCCCACAAAUCUCCUUUGCACCUUCCACCAGGCAAAGACAGAGCGAGAAAUCUGUCACCCAAGAGAGGGCCCUCCCCUGGCCAGGCUGGCACCCAGAUUCCAGACUUCCAGCCUCCAGACCUGUGAGAAAUAAAUGUCUGUCAUGCAUAAGUCACCCAGCCGUAGUGUCCUGUGACAGCAGCCCUAACAGACGAAGAGGAUAUCCCAGGGGUUCUGCUAGAGCAGUUACCCUUCCCCUUCCCACUCCAUAGGUUUUCCAACAACCCAGUUUGUUUCCUAUGUAAGCAACACAGUCUCUCUAGGCAAAACCAGCCUCCAGAUGUGGGUGCCCAGGGUCUCGUAGGGGUAGGCAGCCUUCACCUCUUUCAGUGUCAGAGGUCUUUUAGCUGACUGAUGGGCAUCUGCCAACAAUCCUGCAGAGUCCGCUCUGGGCUGAGAUCAGACUGGCACCUGGGGACAGAAGAGACCUCGACCUCCAGCCCCCUCCUUCUCCCCCUCAGUACCUGACCUUCCACUUCUGGGAGGCAGUGCCCAAGCAGGGUUCCUCGGCUUCCCCGGGCUGAACAAUAUGCAAAUUGCUUGUGAGGAAGCCUGUGUCCCCGAGGGAAGCAGGGGUCCCAUUAGAAACUGCUGAGAAUGUAGGUCAGAGGCUGGGAGAGGACAGCUCGGGGCUGCAACUCUUUUGUCCAGGGUAUUUGUGCUUGUGGGUCUGUGUGUGUGUGGACAGAAGAGGGUGCUACAGGGCGAGGGUGGGGCACCAGGCAGAGCGGAGUGGUGCCUGAGAAACAGUGUUAUUAGGUAGAGAGGGGGAGGCUAUACCCUGGCUUACCUGACAUUUGAAGAAGUAGAAGUUCACUGAAAAUGAGGACUCUAAGGUUCUAGAGAGGUCUGGACCUCUUCCAUUUUUUCGAGCUCUCUGUAUUAAAAUAGAAGAGAAGUUCCUGUCGUGGCUCAGUGGAAACGAAUCAGACCAGUAUCCAUGAGGACUCAGGUUUGAUCCCUGGCCCCACUCAGUGGGCUAAGGAUCCGGUGUUGCUGUGAGCUGUGCUGUAGUUUGCAGAUGUGGCUUGGAUCUGGUGCUGCUGUGGCUGUGGUAUAGGCUGGCAGCUACAGCUCCCAUUUAACACCUAGCCUGAGAACCUCCAGUUGCCGCCCUAAAAAAAUAAAAAUAAAAUAAAAUAGAAGAAGAACUAUCAAGAGGGCAAAAAUAUAGUGAUGUAUUUUAAAUGUUUACUUUUACCAACUAGUAGUUGUAAACACACACACACACCGUGACCUUAUGAAUGGACUUAGAAAUAAUGUCAAGGGCCCUCUGUCCUGUGAAGCCUGAGGCCCUCUUAGCUUUGUAGUAGCCCAGCCUUCCCUGAGACCCUCUUGGGGGCAUCAGGAGGCAGGCAGAGGCCCUGGCAUUCUGUGAAGCUGAGUAAAAAGAGAUCUGAAUGCACUUGUUCCUGCUGAGGUGGUGAGGGGGCUGAACACACCAGGUAUGCAAGUGUCUGAACCUGUCCAAGGGUCCUUUCUCAGCCAAAUAUCCAGCUAGGCAUGGAGGAAGGCCAUGGAUCUCCUGCAAAUUCUUCUCUCCCCUGCAGUCACCCCAUAUCCAUCCCCUGCAAGUGCAGCAGGCAUCAAUGAGAAACUCCUGUUAGGUCCCUUUGACUCCUCAUCCAGAGCUGGGGGACAAAGAGGGCCCCAUGGAUCAUGACACCUUGGAGUCAGGCCUAGGCUGGGUCUGCUCUGUUCGGGGGAAUGGCCUUUCUGGUGUCCAAACCCACACUGCCCUUGUAACCAACUCCAGGUGGCCGAGAACCAUCCUUUCACUCUGCUCCAGGGUGAGUGGGUGACAGUCUGGUAGCUCUUAUCAGAGCUGUUGCUCAGUUGGGUUGUUUCUGAGGAAGGUAGGAGGAAAGGCAAGAGCUUAUUCUUCAAACUACUGAUUUCUCCCUUCCACUGACAAGGACCCUCUCCUUGACCAAACUUUAGUCAGGGGCCCUCUUCUCAACUUGGCCCCAUCUUGGGCCUGACAAACUCAGUUAAGCUAGAAUACCCUGACUCUUUGAUACCUAGCCAAGUCCCUCUUAGCAGUUUUCCAUCCACUGAUUCCCUCACCUGCCCACUCACUAUAACCCCUAGCUGCCUCAGUUGUAUCUGGAGAUGAGUUCAGUCUCUCUCCUGUUGCAGUAGUCUUGAAUAAAGUCUAGCCUGUUGAACUCCCUCCGGUGUAUUUUCCCUUUGCGCAUAUACGUGCAUCCAUGCAAACUCUUAACAAAGUCUCUGAUUCUGUUGUCUUAUUCUCUCUCUUGAGCUCAGAAAAGAUUCUGGGAACGGAUAUUCAGGUCAGAAAGCCAUCUGUCACACCUGGCCAUGGGGUACCUCUCAGGGAAGAGAUGAUCUCUGUCACCAGGGCCUGCGAGUGACAGCAGAGUCAUGAUCAGCUCUAUGCCCUGGAGCUUCUGGAAAGAACCACUAUGGGGGGCCGAGGGGGGGGUAGCUGUCAGGGUGCCCAGGAGUAUCCCCUUCUAGGCUUUUCCUGUUCUCAUCGCUUGAAAAGAACUGUUCUAACCUUGGUUCCUGCAGAAGCAUUUUGUCAUUAGAGGCGUUUCUCGGCAUAUCUAUUUUGGAGCUGCAGCUGGUUGCUUCUCAGAAUAAACAGAGCUGUGAUAUUGGGAUAAAAGAAGAAAGGAGUAUCAUCUCCUCUUUAUGCCCUCCCUCCUCCCUAUGUUUCCCAGCCUCCGUUUCCCUCUUUUUAAAGGCCUUCCCCUAAAACCCCUCUACCUCACCCCCUGACCCAUGGCUUUCCUUCAACCAUCUGAUAACCACAGAAUCCCCUCCCAGGCACUCAUGGGCCCCUGCUAUAGCCAGCCUGUGCUAGGCUUGGGGAGCUCCAGUGUCCAGAAAGAACUCAAUGUCAAGUGACACAAGAGUUCAUGUAUUAAGGACUUAAGCCAAGGAAUGUUAGAGCUGGGCCAGCCUCUUGUGCUUAGAUGAAACAAUUGAGGUCUGGCUGGGGAUGUGCUGUGUUCAGGGCCUCAGCACUCCUGGGAGCUGGGGAAAAGCUAUAACACAAUGACCUGCAGGUGUCCCCAGACCUUACUGCGUCAUUUUCAGAAUGUCACUGAAAUGGGGGCUUGAGACUUCUGGGACAGAAAGAGAAAUCAGACCACUGUUUAUUUUAGACAAAGAGGAUUGGGGAACCCAGUGUACUUAUAGACUUAAAUGGCUUUCCUGAAGGAUCGAGACAAUCGUGGAUACUUUCCAGAUACCCGAGGUUGGGAAGGUGUGGUCAUUAGGGAACAAAUAAAGAGACUUGUGUUUGUGGCCACAUUUGAGACCAAGUAAUUAAUCUUCCUUUGUUGUGCCUUCUAGUCCAAGUGGAUCCAAUAGCACCCAUGAUUGUGCAAGCCUCUCACCUCUUUUUGGUCCAUCUGGACCCCUCCUUCACUUCCCUCGCCUGCCUCUUUCUCAUGCCCACUGUGUCUUCCCUUCUCCAGCUUUACCUAACUCUACUCAGCACCAGCUCUUUAUCUGCCGACCUGCUGUGCAACUUGAUCCACAUGAGGUUACAGAGGCAAAAUGUGAGGAGGUGGUUGUUUCUAGAAAUGGUGCACAUUUCUUCAAAACCUUCUUCCUACCCAGGGCCAAGAGUGGUCAGCCUCACCUCAGCUGCCCCAUGGUCUGACCUCAGCCUGGGUAUCUGCCUGCUGAGUCUCCUCUGUCACCUGAGGCAGCUCUGAGAAAAGGGGAUGAACCAAGGUCCCCACAAAACGAACCUGACUCUUCCAUGUGCCCUGGGAGGGGAGAGGGUCAGGAAGGUGGGAUCCUAACACAAGUGAACUUGGGGUUGUGUCUCAACUCCACCAUUCCUGAGUCUUGUGACCUUGGGCUUGUUAUUUAGUGUCCAGAAGAUUCCAUUUCCUGACCUCUAACAUUGGGGAUAUUAAUGGUAUCUAUUUUAUUUUAUUUUAUUUUAAGCAUUAUUGAGGUAUAGCUAAUUUACAAAGUUGUGAAAAUUUCUGCUGUACAACAAGGUGACCCAGUCAUACAUACAUAUCCAUUCUCUCUGAUUCUUUCCCCAUGUAGAUUAUCACGGAAUACUGGGUGAGUUUCAUCUAUUUUAAAGAACACUUAAUUCAGGAGUUCCUGUUGUGGCACAGCAGAAAUGAAUCUGACUGCUAGCUAUGAGGUUGCAGAUUCAAUCCCUGGUCUUGCUCAGUGGGUUAAGGAUCCAGUGGUGCUAUGAGCUGUGGUGUAGGCCAGCAGCUGUAGCUCUGAUUCAACCCCUAGCCUGGGAACCUCCAUAUGCUGUGG